UCGUUCUCAACGGGGUGCGCUGAAGAAAAUGGCGCUGAGAAAGACCCGUCGAACCUGAUCCGGCUCAUACCGGCGUAGGGAUUUGAGAGUGUUAUCCGC
rnacentral:ncRNA from 1 species